AACGAACGUUGGCGGCGUGGAUUAGGCAUGCAAGUCGUACGAGUUUCAUCUGGGUAACUGGAUGAAAAAAGUGGCGAAAGGGGCAGUAAGGCAUGGAUAAUCUACCCUGAUGACCGGGAUAGCUGUCCCAACGGGCAGGUAAUACCGGAUGAGCUGGUGGGGCCGCAUGGUUCUGCCAGGAAAGGCGCAAGCCGUGUCGGGAGGAAUCCAUGUGAUAUUAGCUAGUUGGUGAGGUAAAGGCUCACCAAGGCGAAGAUGUCUAGCGGGUGUGAGAGCACGAGCCGCGCCAUUGGGACUGAGACACUGGCCAGACUCCUACGGGGGGCUGAAGUGGGGGAUCUUCGGCAAUGGGGGAAAGCCUGAGCGGGCGACGCGGCGUGAGCGAUGAAGGCCAUUAGGUUGUAAAGCUCUGUUGAGGGGGAACAAGCCGGAAGGUUGAGUGAUCCCUGGAGGAAGCACGGGCUAAGUUCGUG
rnacentral:rRNA from 1 species